rnacentral:tRNA from 1 species
CGCGGGGUAGAGCAGUUGGUAGCUCGUCGGGCUCAUAACCCGGAGGCCGCAGGUUCGAGUCCUGCCCCCGCUA